UACGUAGGUGACAAGCGUUGUCCGGAUUUACUGGGCGUAAAGAGCGCGCAGGCGGUCGUUCAAGUCGAGUGUGAAAGCCCCCGGCUCAACUGGGGAGGGUCAUUCGAUACUGAUCGACUCGAAGGCAGGAGAGGGAAGUGGAAUUCCCGGUGUAGUGGUGAAAUGCGUAGGAUAUUGGGAGGAACACCGGUGGCGAAGGCGGUUUCUCUGGGCCUUACCCUGACGCUGAGGAGCGAAAGCGUGGGAGCGAACAGG
rnacentral:rRNA from 1 species